GGUGUAGUUCAGUGGUAGAGCGCUUGCCUAUCAUGCAUGAGAUCAAAGGUUCAAUCCCUAAUACCA
rnacentral:tRNA from 1 species